UACGAAGGGGGCUAGCGUUGCUCGGAAUCACUGGGCGUAAAGCGCACGUAGGCGGAUCUUUAAGUCAGGGGUGAAAUCCUGGAGCUCAACUCCAGAACUGCCUUUGAUACUGGGGAUCUCGAGUCCGGGAGAGGUGAGUGGAACUCCGAGUGUAGAGGUGAAAUUCGUAGAUAUUCGGAAGAACACCAGUGGCGAAGGCGGCUCACGUGGCCCGGUACUGACGCUGAGGUGCGAAAGCGUGGGGAGCAAACAGG
rnacentral:rRNA from 1 species